rnacentral:rRNA from 1 species
UACGUAGGGGGCAAGCGUUGUCCGGAUUUACUGGGCGUAAAGGGCGCGUAGGCGGCAAUUCAAGUCAGCUGUGGAAAUCUCCGAGCUUAACUCGGAACGGUCAGCUGAUACUGUUUUGCUAGAGUACAGAAGGGGCAAUCGGAAUUCUUGGUGUAGCGGUGAAAUGCGUAGAUAUCAAGAGGAACACCUGAGGUGAAGACGGGUUGCUGGGCUGAUACUGACGCUGAGGCGCGAAAGCUAGGGUAGCAAACGGG